UAUACUUAAACGCUACAUUCAUUUGACAGAGGUGCGUGCGGGUGUGUAGAUAUGGCUGUUAAACGAGAAGAUCUAUCAUGCCUUGAGAAGUUUGACGCAGAUUCUGUUCUAGAGGUGUUAAGGUCAAGAUAUGCAAACGAUGAAAUUUAUGUAAGUACUGAUAAAAAAUUAUUCAAUGUUUUCCAAAGUUAAGUUAUUUUCUGAACCCUAUAUUUAAAAAUACUCAUUAUAAAAAAAAAAAGCUCAUCAAAGAUUCCAGGCUGAAAACGCAUAUAUUUUGGUAUACUGUUAUUUUUAAUUGUAUUUUAGAUAAAUCUAUACCAAAUCUACAAGUAAAUCAAGAAAUGAACGGUUAAUUAUUGUAUCUUUGGUUCUACGGUUAAAAUUAAAGUUUGAUUCAAUAGAUAUUGUACAACCAAGUAUUUUCGUCUGUCCUACUAGUUUUGAAAUAAGCAACACAACGGGUGCCACAUGUGGAACAGGAUCUGCUUACCCUUCCGGAGCACCUGAGAUCACCCCUAGUUUUUGGAGGGGUUCGUGUUGUUUAUUCUUUAGUUUUCUAUGAUGUGUCAUGUGUACUAUUGCUUGUCUGCUUGUCUUUUUCAUUUUUAGCCAUGACGUUGUCAGUUUAUUUUCGAUUUAUGAGUUUGACUGUCCCUUUGGUAUCUUUCGUCCCUCUUUUAUGAACUUUGAAAAUCUCAAAAAUGUCCUCGAUUUUCUUAAAACUAAUAAAGAGGUGUGACAAAUUUUCGUGGCCUUAAAAAUAUGAGAAAACUUUCAUCAAUCAAAACUUGUCUAUUAUUAUGUCUCUAAUGAUACACAACAAAAUAACUAUACCAUAUUCGAAAUCAGGCAGUAUGUCCAUGAAUUUUACUAUGUUGUAACCAUAGUUUACAUAAUCAGGUUUGAAGAAUGGUGGCAAAAUUUAAAACUUAAAAACCUCGCAUAUUGAAAUAUUCUCGUUGAUGAUGUCUGAUAAUCAAAGCCGAAUGCGAAGAUUUUCAGCCAAGUUAACGUUGCGCACGAUGUUCCUACAACACGACGUUACACCACCAAGAUGUCGAAGAGAGUUUUCUGAAACUUUUGACGUACAUUUAUUCAAUUUGUAAGUUUAAUUGCUUUUUUAUGUAGUUGGUUGAUUCUAAAUCUGUCUCUAUUAAUUUUGUGAUGUCUACUUACCAUGAAUUUAUUUACCUCAAGUUGUGGAAAUCGAUUAAAUAAUUUUUACCCUUAAUUCACCUUAAAAUGUUGUAUUGUCGUAAGUACAUAAAAAUGAAGUAAUGAACUUGAAGGAAGGAAAAAUGAGACAGAAGUAUACGGUUUUUAAUAAAUGAAUUAUAACAAAACUUUAAUCGCAGGCUGUUAAAUUGUAUGGUGCAUAUAUCAUCUGUCAUUGUAAGUUUUUCAUAUCUUGAUUCAACCCUAAUACAAAUAUAUCCGACACUCUGCAAGUAAAUAAAAACAUAUUUACCCUUCAAAGUUGAUUAAUUUGAAUUGAAUUGUAUUAAAAAUUUGCUUGACACAUAACUUGUCGAAAUACAACCAUUAAAUAGAAUUACUAUAACCCGAUCUUGAAAAUUAUUUUCCCAGUCAUUUGAAGUUGCUUGCUUUUAAAAUGUACUAAUUUUCUCCUAAAUCGUCCGUAUAAUACAGGGAUGCAUUAAUUUAAUGAAACUGUUUUUGUCGCUGUUUCCGAUAAGUCUUUCAGUUACCUCCGUUUCAUGCACCGUGGUUUUUAUUUUCGACAACCAGCAUUUUUUUUUUAAAUUUCACCACGCGAUUAGUUUUAAGUAUCAGGAAUAUACAAUAGAACAAAUUUUGCACAACUCAUGUAACGUCGAAAAAAAAGCGUUUGUUUGGAUUUUUCGACGUUUUGACAAAAUGGCUACCGUUUUUCAAUGUUUCGUAGCAUUUUAUUCCUGUAAGACCCAAACAUGCAGUUAAUAAAAAAGAAUCUAGACUUUAUGUACUAUUCGUGUAUCUAACUUUUGUUUUGGUAAAUUAUAAAUUACUUAUUGAAAUAUCAGGUAAAAUACCCGCAUUAAUUGCUUGGACAAAUGAAAUAUCAACUUGGACAAAAUGACUACCGCUUGAAAAACGACUGUGUGUAGAGAUGGUUUUAUAGAAUCUACAAUUUUUGAACUCACGAACAAUGAGGCAAAUGUUUGUUCUUUCGGUAGAUGUUAUAAUUAUCUCACAUUUUUUAGACAUUUUUUUUUGUCUACUUAUAAAACUACUUUUCAGCCGUUAAGUCAACGAAAAACGUCAUUGGACAUUUUUCUUAUUCCAGCUUAAUAUGCAGCCGCCGAGUAAAACGAAAUUCAACAAAAGAACGGCUUUAAUUUAAUUGAGAACUGACACACUUCGUUGCUUCUGCCAAGUUUCGGGAAGAUCAGAGAAUAAGAAAUAGGAUCAUUAUACAUUAGAGAUAAAACAGUUGUUUAAAAAUGUAACGUUGGACAUCCGUUUUUUCACAUAGCUUUGUUGUUUUAAUCCUCAAAUAUACUAGAUAUUACUAAGCAUAUAACCAAGAGCUAUAAGAACAUAAAGGAAAACAUAUACUGAAUUAGUUUUUAUAGUGGUUAGUGUUUGUUAACAAUUUAUUUUGUUUUGCGGAGGAAAUUUCGAAGAUUCUGUUUUAAAUCAUAGGGGUUGUAGGAACAGCGUGCGUGACGUUCUUUUCUCCAAUUUCGCUCUAAUACUACUUUCCUGACGAAGUUAUCGUUUUUUAGGAUAGACUGUUUUCGUAUAACGUAUACACUUAUAUCUAUUAUUCUAGUAUGAAGGCAAGAAUGUAUAUAAUAUAUAGUUGUUAAUGUCUGUGUCAUUUUGGUCAUUUGUGGACAGUUGUCUCAUUGGCAAUCAUACCACAUCUUCUUUUUUUUAUAAAAUAUAUAGUGUUGUCGAUAGUCCAGCAAGUCUACUAGAUAUUGUGGUGUCCAUUGUUAAUGUUUCUCUGUUUGCGGCGGGCUAGAAAGUGAUAGUAACAGGAAACAAUUAAAAAAAACAACACUUUUAAUAAUUUCAAUGCGUCAGCUGAAGCGCUUUUUUGGAUUUACCUUCAUCAGGAAUGCUCAAAGCCAAACUUUUCAAAUCCGAGGAUGUAUAAGCCCCAAAACCGUUGAAGAGCUAUUUGACAAAAAAUACCUAAAAUUAAUAGUCAAAUUCAUCUUAAGUCAACUUUGCCUGAGGAAGAUGAAACCUUAGUUUCUUAAUUAUUUCAAAAUUUAUAAACGGACAAUUUUUGAAAAGUUUAUUAAAUCAUACUGAGCUGAUGAUACCCAUGGGGACUGAUAGUCCAGCAGCAGAGGUAUCGACCCAGUGAUGUAAAAAAAAAAAAAAAUGAAAACAACACGUUUAAUAAUUUCAAUGCGUCCGAAGUUUUUUGAAUCCUGUCAGUACCGAAGUACUGACUACUGAGCUGAUGAUACCCUCGGGGACUGAUAGUCCACCAGGAAAACAUUUUCCGCAUAAAACUAGUCACGUGUGUGCUGUUAGUUGUUUGUCUUUUUUAUUUUUAGCCAUGGUGUUGUCAGUUUGUUUUAGAUUUAUGAGUUUGACUGUCCAUUUGGUAUCUUUCGUCCCUCUUUUAUACCUAGUGACGCAAACUUAUAAAACUAUACGCUAGUUCAGUACAUACAAUUACUUAUCCCUUUACUAAGAAAGUAUAGAUAUAUGAUUGCCUCUGCCAACGUGAGCGAAAAAGUUCGUUUCGUUGUAAGAAAAAAACAUUUAUAUGCAAUCUUUAUUACCAUUCUUUUCUGUGGCUCACGUUUGCGGACGGCUUAAGAAACGAAGACUUCCGGCCACAGACAUUCGUCCAUCUUUUGACAUAAUCAAAUCAAUUUAAGCAACCCAAAACAAGGUUUCUAUUAUACUAAAAGAUAAAAUCCGUUGGUGAUAUUACAGAACAGAUUAUAUGCAAAUUACUUACUUUAAUAAUUUCAUUUAUUUGAUGAAUUAUUUUUACAAAAAGGGGGCAAAAUACGGCCUUUAGGGUACCUUGUCUUUUGUUUCAUUCAGUAGAUCAAAAUCCGAACACGACAAAAAAGUCAAAAAAUAGCCUUGUCGUUUUCAUAUAUAGCAAGCGUCAUAGAUAACUAUAAGCACAUGAACAUUUUUGUUUUGGCCAAUAUAACAUUGAUACUUGAUGUAUUAUCUUUUUUUUUUCACACAACGUUGUCAAUACAAUGUAAUGUUAUGCAACUACCAUAUACGUGAAAAGUUUGGUGAGCUAUGAAACCAGGUUAAAUAAAAAUAUAUAAUAUAUAAAGACUACAGUAGUAUACCGCUGUUCGAAAUUCAUAAAUCGAUAGAGAAAAAAACAAAUCCGGAUAACAAACUUAAACUGAGGUAAACGCAUCACAUAUAAGAGGAGAACUACGACACUACAGAAACACAACCUUAAAAUGUAACAUACACAGAAACGAACUGUAAUAUAUAACAAUGGCCAUUUUCCUGACUUGGUACAGGGCAUUUUAAAUAAAAAUGGUGGGUUGAACCUGGUUUUGUGACAUACCAAACCUCCCGUUUUAAUGGCAAUGUUAAUUAUAACAUUAAAAUGACAAUAUUACAUGACAGGACUUCAAUAUCAAUAAAUGAGAGAAAAUAUAGGACAGAGAAACAAAUGUAUAAUAGCCAACAAAUGUACCAGGUUAAAAAUUUAACACGCCAGACGUGUUAUAUAUAGAAAAUGCCUGUGCCAAGUCAAUAAUAUGACAGUUGUUAUCUACGAUUGAUGUAUAUAAGCUUUUGAUUUUGCUAUUUGAUCACGGAGUUUCCGCUUUGAAUGUUCUCGGAAUUCGGUAUUUUUGUUAUUUUCCUUUUUACUAGAAAAUUAUUUGCUGGAGUUUUAUUUUGGAACUAUUUGUUUUCGCUAAUCAUAUACGAUUAAUUAAUAUAUAUAUUUUGACAAAUUGGCCUUAUCCAUUUAAUUAAGUAUAUGUUUACACAAUAAGUAGGAAGUGCGAUCUUUUCUAUUGAUAAUAUGUACCUUUGCCUAUUGGAAUUUUUAGGGGAGGAACAUACGUUUGAGAAUAUAAAUCUUUUUGACAUCUUAUACAAUUGUCUUCUAAAUGAAUGCAGAAAUCAUGAAAACGAGGACAGUGAAGGACGAUAAUUCCUGAUUUUAUUUUUAUGUUACAAAUUUAUAUCACAUAUAUUUUGUAAUAUAUUUUUUCAGUACAUAUUAAAAGUAUUUAUUUUUCAGUAUAUGUCACGGGUAUAUAUCUUUCAUUUUAUGUCACAGGUAUACAUUAAUAAACUGUAUAAUCUACAAAUUGAUAAAUGAAAACAACACUUUCUUAAUUAUAUAUAUAUGCGUCCGUAUCGUUGCCUAGAUAGCAACUCAUUCGGCUCUCCCUUGACACCAUUUGCGAGUUUGGUCUUGAGGAAACGAUGAUAAUCCGUCGGAAGGGGACGAUAAAUUGUUGACCCGUGUUAAGAGAGAGCCAUAUCUCUUGCACGAUAAAGACACCAUUGUAGAUUUCGAAAAGGAGCAGGCUAAUGCCGAUAUAAGGCAACACUCGCACCUGCAAAGUGGAAAGGGAUUAUUAGAAGUUGCAAAACUUGUUUCCCAAUCAACUAUAAAUAAAUAUGUUUAAACUUACUCAUUUAAUAAAAGAAAAGUUUAAUUAACAAAUGGGAACUCAUAGAAAGUUAAAAUAUAAAUAUCAUGGUUCUUUCAAAUCACUUACUUGUCACGAGGUCCUCAUGUCAUGAUCCGGUACACUUUUGCAAACAUGCCAACAAGCACAAUUUCUGGAAAUUUUAAUUUACAAUAGUUCAUUCAUUUAAUUUUCAAUGCACAAUAGGAAAUUUUAAAAGCGUUUUUUGUUCUUUUGAAAGUGUGAAUUCCUGUUCAUCCUACCAAAACUAAACAUAAUGGGACAUAUGACGCGACCAUUGUGCUUCUGUGUUAUCAGAUAGAAAAAUCAAUACAUGUUGUAACAUUUCUGGGUAACACUUAUAUUUAUUAUAAGUAAAAUAUCGGCACUGAUUAAUCUUAUGUAGACUUAUUGAGCGUCUGGCUUAACAAAUGCUAAUCGUGGUAUAUUUGAUGAGGUACAAGUAGAUUUAAAGCUUGUAAUGCCAAUCCUGUCUUAUUCUAGAAAGGAAAAACGUUUAUUCGCCGUGUAUACGUAGCACUACAUAACGAAUUAUUUUUUUAUUGCAAUUAUUUUUUCGCAUAAGAGUCAGUUUUGCUGUUUAAUUAGAUAUAACAUUAAAAUGUUAGAUACUGCAACAGUUUUUACAUAUCGUCCAAAGCAAUGAGUUUGUUAUCAAGCGUAUGUCGUUGGUGUCUGUCGUAAUUGUUAUUCUUUAUGUUUACUUUAAGUAUAAAAAUGAAGAUACCAUGGGAACAUAGCAAAUCCUAAAUAAAAAAGGUCCCACAACGGCCAGAAACAACUACGACGAUAAGUACAAAAAAAUACACAAUACACUAAAACUAAAAGAUUGAAUAUGUAUGAAUCAGGUCAAUAUUUUACUCAAAAAAGUCAUUAAAUCUGUCCACUUUUCUGUCGAUAGUUAUCAAAGGUACCAGGAUUAUAAUUUAUUACGCCAGACGCGCGUUUCGUCUACACAAGACUCAUCAGUGACGCUCAUAUCAAAACAUUUAUUAAGUCAAACAAGUACAAAGUUGUAGAGAAUUGAUGAUCUAAAAGUUGUACCAAAUACGGAUAAGGUAAUCUAUGCCUGGGAUAAGAAAAUCCUUAGUUUUUCGAAACAUUCAAAGUUUUGUAAACAAGAAAUUGAAAGACAUUUUGAUUUAUGUUCUAAUUAUUAUCCUUUAUUUUUGCCAAUCAUGCGUGUAACUUUUGAUUCACUUGACUUUUGUUUAGGUUUAAACCUGACCCUCGUUCACUAACUAACAUACUAGAAUAUGGGGAAAAAUGCGAUAUGUGUAAUAUGUUUUCUCGUAUUCAAUUAGUUUGUGUUUCCCUUUUGGCAUAAGCUCUUCGACCGCUACGGUUCUUAUAAAUCCUUGUUUUUCAACUACUCGCCUUGAGCAUUUACGAUGAAGGUAAAUCUUGAAAAGCAUUUCGUACGAAUGUUAAUUAUAACGUGUUUUUUUUUACGUUUUACAGCAUUAUGUCGAUACCUCUACUGGUGGACUAUCAAUUCCUCAGCGAUCUCUAGUAUAACACACAAUUAAUAUAAUAUCGUAUAGACAUUUCUAUAUGAAAACAAUAAAGUUACCAUACAAGGGUAGUAUAGCAUUUAUUAAUGGAUUUUAAAGAAUGUUUAAGGCAUGUUCUCAACUAAACUACUUUCAACGCAUCAUUUCAUCAUCGGGGUAUCUUGUUUACAAAUUUAUUAAAGGUCUAAGGACUUCAACAAAAUAACAGUACUCUCAUAUAAAGACCCUACAAUACAAUCAUAAAAUAUUAUAAAAACUAGUACAAAGAAAGAUAACUCUGACAUUUUCUGAACAAGUAUAUUGCACUGUAUAACGUUUUAAGUAAAAUAAUAUUGUCAUUCUCUUUUACGUCUAACUGUAAGAUAACUUCUUUUAUUUUGCAUUUCUGUAAAUAUAGGCAAUGCAAUUUCCCAAAGGGACCCUUUAACUGCAAAAACUGUACCACUUCUACUAUGAUUAUUCGAAAAAUAUUAUAUCCUAGAAUGGAAAGCUCAUAUGUACCAUUGUUUUUUUUCAAAUGUCAAAAUAUAGGGCUGUGUGGCGUAUUUUUGAACGUUAAAACAACAUAACAUGUAUGACUAGUAUAAAGUAUGUAUCCCUCAAAGAGGUGUGGUCUUUGAAACAGUUGUAUAUACAAAGUGCAACAGAUAGGAGCUGUUUCCCUUUAAAGACCAAAUUAUUUUUUUUUAUUUAUACAGAUUUACUUUUAUUUUAUUAAUAUUCUUGCCUGUUAUCUUGAAAUCGUCAGUCGGCUCUUUUCUAUAGCAGUUGCCCUUUAAUUCUAACAUUUGUUUUGUUUUUUAUCCUUUUAUCUUAAAAAUUGUAACAAGUAGAUAUAAUCUUAAAUAGGCAACCAUGACCAGAAAGGGAAGAUCUUCAAUUCAGAUAUAUCGGAGAAAUCGUGCGAUGACUCCUUACUAGAGUUAUUGUCCUUUGGUGAGGAUGUUUACCAAUAGUUAUCGUUUCUGCAUUAUAAUUAAAAUUCAUAAUAGAUUGAUGGAAACUUAAUAAGCAAAAUCAGAUAAAAUUUUUAUAUUAAAACAAAUGGAGGAAAUUGUUUCAAGUAUUUGCCCAUUAAUGACGAUUUACAAUUUUAAUGCAAUCUUUUCCUUUAUAUUGAUAAAAAUAGUAAUAAAGAAAUAGACACUUUGAAUCACAAAAAUGAUCAGCAAGUGAAGACACACUAACAAGUCAAAUUUGUUGAUAUGGUUAGUAGAUUGUCACUCUUGUUAGAAGUAAUGGCCCUUAAAUGAGGAUUGUUUUACACGAUUUGGGGUUUUGAGCAAAAGCUUAAGAAUAUAAAGAAAACCUAGACAGAUUAAAUGAUUAAUAAUACUCAAUAAAUAAAACAGAUUUUUUUCAUGGAUUCUUUUUUUUGUAUAUAAUUUUAAAGAAUGUACUUUGUUGCAUAUGAACAUAGACAAAGGUUCACGACACAUUUAAGCAUCUAGUUUAAAGUUAAACAAUAAUGUAAAGGAAAUCGUUAUAUCUUAGAAUUCUUUUAUACUUUGUUUAAGGUUCCACUCCACAUUCUUUUCACAUUUCUUUUAAAUAGGAUAUACUGAAGUAGUGCAUAUACAUAUAAUAUUGGUAGUGUAUAUAAAUAGAAUAUGGAUAAUCAGUACAUAUACGUACACUUAAAAAGGAGUAUUUUAUCAUCUAUAAAGUAAUCUUAACUAUGGUUGAUAGUUGUCUCAUUCACAUAUUCUUAUUUUAUAUAGUUUGAUAUGAGAAUGUAAAAAGUUAUCUUGAAAUGAAUCAACAAACAUUCCCUGAUAAUCAUUUUGCUGUGUAGAUUGUAUCCAAUAGUAGUAAAACAAAAGUAAAACAAAAAACACAAAUACGAUCGAAAGCAUACUCUUUAUGUACAGAUUUGUCAGGGAAAAUGAAAAUUAUAGUAAUAUAACUUAAGCAGAACGUAGAGACAUGGAUACAUGAAAGCAAAUUGAAACUUGUUUACCCCCUCUGAUUAUAUACUAGUAAAAAAAAAAGAAACCUUACAUGCUUAUAAGAUCAUUUAAUUUUUUUAUAACAAAAAAUUGAUAACAAAAAAUUAAUGGAAGAGUUAGCUAACAUGAUUUUGAAGAGAACAAUAACAAGUUUUCUUUAUUGAAAACAAUAUUGCACAUUUUCGGACAAUUUUAACAGGGCGAGUACAGAAUUCGGGUUAACAUGUCAAUAUCUUGUAUGACCACCUCUUUCAUUUAUGACCGACUGCCACCUCCGUCGCGUGGAAUCAAUAAGACGUCGAAUAAAUCUUGAGAGAUGUUGUUUGCUUCCCUGAAAAGUGCUGUUCGGAACUAGGCUAGCGGUUCCGGUGGAUUUUGACUAUUUCUGAUGCGUCGUCCAAGUUCGUCGCAAAGAUGUUCAAUUGGUGAUAAAUCUGUAGACAUUGCUGGCCAAGGCAACACACGAAUAUAGUUAUUCUCUAAAAAGGUCAUCGAAAUGUGUGCCACCUGAAAACGGGCGUUGUCCUGCUGAAAAACGUGAUUAAAACGAUGUCUUCUGAGAAACGGGAGAACAACUGGAGCAGAAUUUCGUCCCUAUACCUUGUUGCAUUUAGGUUACCAACUAUGAUUUUGAGCUCGGUGCGUUCCUGGUAGGUAAUUCCGCCCAAACCAAUCUGUUUCCUGCACGCACGCAUCAGAAAAUUGUUCAUUGCGUCUCUGGUAGACCCUGGCUCUGCCGUCGCUAAAUUCAAGUUGAAUUUAGAUUCAUGGUAAAGAACCUGUCUCCAUGUUUGCCUAUUCCAUCGAAUCCGUACCCGUGUCCAUUGAAGUCGCACCAUUCUGUGAAGGUGAGUAAGGAUAGGUCCCUUCAAUGGACGACGAUCUCUUAGACCAACUUGACGCAAUCGGUUACGAACUGUUUGAGCAGAUAUUCUGUUGUUAUGUCUUCCGUGGGUUUGUCGUGCAGUUUGUGACGUGUUUACAAAUCGAUUCCGGAGAUGAAUGAUGCGGAUGUGUCUAUCUUGACGUAACGUCGUUUCACGUGGCCUGUCACUACGGGGGCGAUCAUUUGUUGUGCCAGUAUCCUAAGACGCUCUAAGCAUUGCAAUAGUCAUUUAGAGACAUUAAAUGAUUUUGCAACAUGCACUUGGAUCAUUCCUGCUGCCAACAUCCCAAUAGCUCGUUCUCUCUCAUUUUGCGUAGACGGGGCAUUGUUUUACGUGUAACUUUUUCUAUUUUUUAAUUUGACCUUUUUGUUAACAAUCGUGUUCGACACAAUAAAUGACAAAAAGGACAACUCGAUUUAUACAGGUAAUUUUUGGAAAAAAAAUAGUUAUUUGUUUGAAAUCAGAAAUGACGUCAAUAUAUUUAUAAAAAUGAGAAAUUUGAUAGAUACAUCAUCAGUUACAAGUUUUAAUCAUGAAAAUAUUUGAAAUUAAUAUAUGUGAUAUUUUCAAAUUAAAAACCAAUGUAAAGUUUCCUUUUUUUUGCCUUGUAUAUGAUAAUAGUUUAUUUGAGGUCGUUUUUGACCAAUAUAAUGCUCACACAUUGUUUAUAGCUUUUGGACUGUUUCUGAAAUUUAUUCUUACAUGCCUUUGAUUUUUUAACCCUAUAUGCUAAAAUUGCCCAUGUAAAUUUUAAAAUUGUUUGUAUGCACAUUGCACGACAAAUUUAUGUGACGUAUAAAAUUUUCUGACGUCAGACACACAAAUCAAUGAAUGUGUUUGUAGAUAUAUGAUUUGUGUUCUGUUAAAUUGUUCCUUUUAAAAUUGUUAUAUACGAUGAUGGACUGAUGUACCCAUAUUUUGACUAUUUUAUUUAUGUGUCUGUUUAGUUAACGCAUCAAUGUAAAUAUAACGGAAUUUGAUGAGACUGUCAUCAAAGUGAGAUGGUUAGCGCUAUAAAACCAGGUUUAAUCCACCAUUUUCUACAUUUGAAAAUGUCUGUACCAAGUCAGGAAUAUGACAGUUCUUGUCCAUUCGUUUUUUAUGCGUUUUGUUAUUUGAUUUUGCCAUGUGAUUAUGGACUUUCUGAAUUGAUUUUCCUCUAAGUUCAGUAUUUUUGUGAUUUUACUUUUUUCAUAUAAUGUGGAAGUUUUAUUCAUACCAAAUAAGAAAAAAAUCUACUUGAUUAUCAUUCUAUUUUGUGCCGUAAUAUCCUGUCUCACCUCAGAAAUGGGUUUGGAUCCAGUUAAAUAAUUCAAUCUGUUGCUUAUACAUAGCUAUAGGAAGAUGUGCUAUGAGUGUCAAUUAGACAACUCUCAAUCCAAGUAAAAAUUUAUAAAACUGUAAACCAUUAUAGGUUAAGGUACGGCCUUCAACACGGAGCCUUGGCUCACACCAAACAGCAAGCGCCCCAAAAAUUACUAGUGUAAAACCAUUCAAAUGGGAAAACCAACGGUAGAAUCUAAAUUAAAACGAGUAACACGUAUAUGAACUACAUAAACAUACGACAACUACUGUACAUCAGAUUCCUGACUAAGGACAGGUGCAGCGGAAUUACACGUUUUAAUAGUACCAAACCUUUUCUGAAUCAAUAGUAUAACAUCUCAACAUAGAAAGAUACUCUAUCAAAUACCAAUUGGAAGGCUUAACUCAAUCAAAAAACGCAAAUUAACACACAAUGAAUACUUAUAAUACCUGUCCAAAUCUGGAGCCUGUUUUUUGUUUGAUUAUUAUCGUGUCUGUUUGUCGUUGUCGUUUGGGUAUAAUUUGAUGUUUUCUUUCCAUUUGAACUUAUCUAAGACAUGUAUUAAUAAGACAGACAGAUGGAGAUAUGUGCAUGAUGGUGAAACUAUACCACAUAUGGAGGAGACGCUCAGGCCUAUAAUUUGUAUAACUUUCCAUUAAACUCAAAUUUAUUGUUUCUUUAAUAGAACUAAUUAAACAAAUGCAGUUUAAUCUUUUUUUGUUCGGAAUCUUUAAAGGAUAUUCUUUUGUGUCAAUUAAUUCUUCUGCAUUGAUAACCGUUUCUUUUAAUUUAUCAAUGAUCAUAUUUGUGUACAUUUACGUUUUAUCUUCAUGAUCACAGGCAAUUAGAAUGCAUUCCCUAUUUACCUCGUGUGUUUUAUCAAUGAAACCUUUUGUAUCUUAAAGUUAAAAGUUAUGCCUCUUCAAAAAUGGUUUUAUAUUAGAUCAUUUAAUCUCUCAAUGCGUCUCGAGGGAGAGUUACGCUUAUUCGGAUUAUCAGUCGUAAGGAACAUCUUUAAAUGUCUCCUACCAGUUGAUCAUUUCACAAUGCCUCAAUAAUUAAUUUAAUGAAUUUUUGAAAGACUGAGGUACAUGUGUCCAUGUUUUGAAUCAUUAUUAUUCUUUAAAAAUUAUAUGUAUGGGAAUCUAUUUCUUUUUUUUCUAUAUAGACUAUCAACUAUAUCUUUCAUAACUGUAUAGCAUUUAACAGUUUAAGUGAGUGAGAUAUCUGUGUAAAGUUCUUUAUUGCCAAGUUUUAGAUAUCGUAAAUGCUACGUAUGUAGGUGCUCUUAAUUGCCUGAAGCUAAUACAGAUAAGAAGAAUCAAUGUUCCGAAUGAACAAUAAUUAAGGUUCCGAAUAUUCCUUCAUAGACCAUAUUUCUAACGCAGGGGUUCACGCAUAAAUGUACAUUUAGUUGAAACAAUAUUUUAUUCAAAAAGUGCAUGAAAUAUAAUUAUACAAUGUACAUUAACUACUGCAUAUUUACCAGCAUUUUUUUUUAUACUUUCUGCAUUUCAGACAAAUUGUGGUGAAAUUUUAUUGGCUGUAAACCCAUACAAAACAUUACCAAUAUUUGAUAAUGAAGUGAGUAUUAUACAAUGGGUAGUGUAAAAAAAAAACAAAUAAAAAAAUUCUUUUUGAUUUUUUAAAACUGCAUAAAUAUAUAAUGACAAAGUUAUUAUAAUAUUGUGCACCAAAGACUCAUCAGAGACGCUCGCAUAAAAAAAGUUAUAAAGGCUAAAUAAAGUACGAAGUUGAAGAGCAAUGAGUACCAAACAUCCCUUACAUGUUUGCUAAAUAAAGCUGAGGUAACCUAUUCCUGAGGUAGAAUAGCCGUUGUAUUUCAAAAAUUCAAAGUUUUGUAAACAGUUUAUUUAUUUAUUUAAUUAUUGUUUAGUGAUACCAUUGUAAUAGUGUGGUAUAAUAUAUAAUGUCUCCUCUUUAUUUACCAUAUAACUCAAACAGUUACACCACCAACAACACUUACCCAACGAAUAACACAAGUCGGUCAACUAGGGAUAUUAGAAUAGGUUUUCUAAUAUGUAUGGGACACUUUUCCUGGUCGGCUCAAGUAAAAUUUAUUGCGUAAAGUAUAAAAUGCUUCAUUUAUUUAUUUAAGAACCAUGAAAAAUACGACUGGAAAAGAUUUGAGGCAAACAUGCCACCGCAUAUUUUCAAUGUUGCGGCUCGUGCAUACCAAAGAAUACAGGAAGCAAAAACUAAUCAAGUCAUUCUUGUCAGUGGAGAAUCUGGAGCCGGUAAAACAGAAAGUACAAAACUCAUGGUUGAGCACUUGGUUUACAUGAGCCCAAAUGGAAGCGACGACUUGCACAACAAAAUUGUACAGGUAACAUGUAUAAUGGAGAAUCUUUUAAAAAGUUCCUGCCAAGAAAUAUGCUGUAUUUAAAAAAAAAUUAAGAUAUCAAUGUAAGGUGUAUUCGUGUUUAUAUUUUUGUGUAUAUGUGUAUGUCUGUUUGUAUAUGUGUAUGUUUUGAAGAGUUGUGUAGAUUAGACAUCAUUAAACAAGAGUUCGUGCACUAGAAGUUCAACACAGCGGAAUCAGAAGCUUGCGCCCUCUCCAUUUAUGCAGCUUAUCGUGUCAGUUCUCUUAAAAUAAAUCAUAAAUAAAUAAACAAUAGUAGUAUACCGUGGUUUAAAAGUCAAAGAUCGAUUGAGAGGGAAAUCCGGGGAACAAACAAAAACCGAGGGAAACAUAUUAAAUGAAGGAGAAAAAACGAUACAACAGACACACUGCAACACAAACAAAUGUCAUCAUACAUAAAAACGGAUUAAACAAAAUAAACAACCGAAAGGAAUCGUUUGAAUUUAAAAAGGAUAAGAAUAACGACAGAGUAAGCGUAUCUUGCUAGACACGAAUCACCAACCAUUUGAGAUCAAAAUCGGUAGAAUUACAAAUAAAUCGAAUAUUCUGGAAUCAAAAUAUCUAAGACCGCGAAAAAAUGUCGCUUGUGACUUCAACAAAUUCAUUAACGCUUUAUACGGUUUGUUGAGAAAUACCCAAUAACCUUAAACUGUUAAAUCUAAUUAGGAUUGGACAAGAUCUUGAAAAUUGUUUUUGGUACGAAAUAAACGUAUGACAAUUGACCCUGCCUCUUUCAAUUAAGUAGUCUCCUAAUUACUUUUCUCUAUCUGCAAUUAUGGAAUUCUCCUGUAACACAUGUGAUAUAACGGUGACUUACUGUACUAUAAAUCUUAUAUUCGAUCUCUGAUGGUACAUUGGAGAAACAUAUUUGUUUCAUUAAUUAAAGAUAUUUGAACACAUUUAAAAUCUAGAUAUGCAGUAUCAGUUUGUAGUGUUUAAAAUUUGUAUCACUUAGUUACGGUGAAAAAGGAUUUAAUUUUAACACACCUUUGAUUUUUUAACGGCACCUGUUAAUAUUCGAAUAAGCGCUGGACAUGAAUUAGUUUUUGUUUUUACACUUAUACGGCGUAAUUCAAACAAUAUUACAUUAAAUGGUUAUAUGCGAUGGAUGGUACAUUAGUAGUUUAUAUAAUAUGCUUCUUAUUGUUGUUUUCUAGUCCUAGAUGCAUGCAUGGCGACAAACCCUCAGUUAUUAUUUUUUUGAAUUGGUGUCUUCACCGUGCAUGUCUGAUAUACUAUAAAUGUAAAUACGCUAGGUUUUGACACUUUUGUCGUGUUUUAAUAUAUUGUAUAAAUUUUGUUUCAGGUUAAUCCACUUCUGGAAGCCUUUGGAAAUGCACAGACAAUAAUCAACGAUAACUCCAGUCGAUUUGCUAAAUUUUUAGAACUCAGCUUUGACGAGAGCGGACAGGUUAUCGGAGGUAUUUGAUAUUUUAUUUUAUUAAUAGAAUAGUUUAAAAAGGAAUUAUAAUUGUUCAAACUAUUGAAAGUAAUUGAAUUUGCUCUAGGUGUGUCGCUUUUAAUAUGAAGCACACAGCACCUUUUUAAUCUCAACAUGUGCUACAGGAAGAGAGAAAUCCAUUAAACGCGACUAAACCAAACGUUAGACUUCGCAAACAAACGGAACGAAUGGGAACAAAUUGUCAUAUAUAACAAUUUGCAAUCCAUAAUUGUGAAGACUGAUUUACCAAAUUCAAUCCCUUAAUGAUAUAAAAAGAUAAUACAAAAGUCGUAUCUAUAAAUAUAGAAUAAAGGAACGUAAAAUUAGAAUCUGCUAAAAAAAAAAAGGAUGCAUAAAAUACAAAAUAAAAGGCUUCAAGAAAUAUAGAAAUAUUUAAAUACAGAACUAGAUAAUAACAAUUCAUUGGGUAGCCGCUAAAUGUCCCUGUCAUAGAAGAAAAAGUUGGGGGGAGAGGGGGUGGGGGUGUGUGGGGGGGGUGUUAAAAAAAAACAAAAAUGUUUUGCCUGUCAUCUCGGGAAUAUGACAGUUGUUAUCCAUUAUUUUGAUGUGUUUGGGCUUUUUGUUUUGUCUUUUGAUUAGGAGCUUUCCGUUUUGAAUGUUCCUCGGAGUUAAUGUGAUUUUACUUUAAACAAGUAACGUACUUAAACAUUAAUCAAUCAUGAUGACAAAUAGCACAAACAAAAUCAGUUAGUCCAAAGAUUUAAAGAAAUGAAGGUGCAUUAAUAAGUUGAUGAAUACAAAAAGAAGUUUUUAAUAACUUUUUGAAUUAUCCCUUGUAAGUAGUUUUGACAACCCUAUUCGUCUUACAUUCUAAGAUUAUUCGAAACGCGACCAUACUGAAAGUGUUAUAAAACUCAUACAAAAUAAAUUGUAUCCUUUCGAAUGAUACACGUAUAUAUCAGUACAAUGAAUUAUAUGCAGCAGGUAACACAAUCAUUAAUAAAAUUUUGAAAAAAGUUUAUUUCAUAUCUUGAGUUUCAGCACAUUGCCAUUUUACGAAAUUUUGUUUAACAUUCUUUAUUCAGUUGCUUAAAGGAACAAUAACAUUGCCAACUUUAUAACACAUCUUUUCUAGCUGCAAUUCGUGACUACAUGUUAGAAAAGGCAAGAGUUGUUACUUGCAAUGAAGGUGAAAGAAAUUUUCAUAUUUUCUAUUACCUGUUUGCUGGAGCCAGUAAACAACAACUGAGCGACCUUAAUUUGUCGGAAAGCAAAAAUUAUAGGUAUGUAUAAUUAUAGAUCUAGUAUAACAAAAAAAUAGAAAAAAAAUACGAAUCAAGUAGAUUUGUUGGUUAUGAAGACAUACUCUCUCAAUUAAAAUAUUUGAAAACUGGCUGGCAUGUCAGUAAAUGGUAGUAGAGCCUUGUUAGUUGGUGUAUCAUUGUCUUUUUGCUAACUUUCUUUAAAAUUUAUAGCCUUCUCUGACAUCAGACUCGGACUUAUUUUUAACCGAGCCUUACUGGUUUUUUUUUUAUUGCUGAGUGUUUGUUUAUUACACAUUAAUAAGGGGUAGGGUUGAGCUUUCACAAAACAUGUCCAACCUGCCGCAUUUUAUUUUCGCCCGUUUGAAGUCAGAAGUCUCUGACGAUUGUUAGUCUUGUUUUUUUUUCAUAUUCAGUAUUUUCAUAUAUUUUUGAAUUUCGUGUGUCGUCCAUCAUUUUCAUUGAAUACAUUCACAUUUUGUCUCUUUGACAAGUUCACCAUUACCAUUCUCAUUAAACUAAUUAUACUUUGAUUGAUUUAGGAACAUUCAAAUACGACAUGAUAUACGAUGGUCUGUUUUUUUUUUUUUUUUUAAAUUUUAAUUUUUAAACAAGUACAGAGAAAUAGAUUGUUUUUCAACUUGAAACAAGUUAACAGAUGUAUAGAUACUUUUUGGCAUAAGUCACAUCGUGACUUUUAUCAGACGCGGUUCAGUUAUGUUACAGUAAUUAAAAUCUGCAUAUAUAAUAACAACUUUGUUUUCGGAAGGGGAACGGCGGACAAUGGGUAAGAGGAAUAAAACUGAUAUGAUUUUGAUAUCCUUGUUUUUGGUACCAGUUGCAGUUUAAAUUUGAUUUUUUUUUUAGAAGUAAAGGAUAAGAAUAAAGAAAAUUAUAUAUUUUUUCAGGAUCAUGAAGGGUGGACGUCUCAAAUUGUUGGAAGAAAAACCGAAAUACAGAGAAAAAUACACACAACAGAUGGAUGCCUUGAAAAGGAUAGGCUUCGAUGAUGAUGUUUGUAGUGAUAAAAUGUUCUUCAUUUUGAAUGACAAUUUUCAUUUAAUUGUUAACUUUGCUAUUCCUUUUGUAAUUUUGAUUGGUCAGAUCUAUUGUGUUCCUAAUUUUUAGGAAAUAUACCUUAUCACAGUUGACCAAGUGAUUGCGACAAACUACAUUCAUUAAGGUUUCAUUUCUGUGUUUAUAGACAAUGCACUUUCAAAUGGGAAUUCCUUUUGCGGCUUAAGCUGUGCCACUAUGAAGUUUCGUUUAAAAUCAUAUCCCAGGAUGGAAAGCUUACAUGCACUACUAUUAUAUUCAAAGAUCAAUACAUAGGACUUGGGCGUUAUUUAUAUGCUCGAAACUAUCCCUACCUCAACAUUGGGCCAACUUCAGGAUUUUUCAGGGAUGUAUAAGGACGCAGUCACGUUCAAUUAUUUAACCUUAGCAAAAAAUUAUUAUUUUUCUAAUCAUUAUUAAACUGCUAUCUAUGUUGGAUGUUCGAAUACGCAGCCAUACUUUUAAUUACUCUACCAUUGUCAAAUUUGAAAUAUAAUAUCAGCUUAAAUCGGUCAAUGCUAUUCAUUGAGAAUGUAUUUCUGCUUUUUGGUCCGGUUGAUGUCUCUUUGAGACAUUUCCCAUUUUCAUUCUCUAUUAUUUAAUAUAUUUUCAGGACAUGAACAUUUUACACUGCAUGUUAGGAGCGAUUAUUCAUUUGACUGAAGUGAAGUUCAAGGAGGCGGACAAAGUAAAUGAGCCUCUAGAAAUAGUGAACAUUGACCAGGUUGAUCUAGGUACUCACAUUAUUACAAAAUUUCUAUUAAAUUUUUUUUUUAUCAUUUUUAUUUAACAAAAAAGCCCUAAGGCUUUCUUCUUAAUGUUUGUGAGUAACACAAUACGUCUUUCCACAAACAUAUACAAUUAAACGAUUGCAGAUAUACGAUUCAACAUACAACACGGAACACUUUAAAAUUAGUAUAUCAACGUCAGUUUUUAAUGAUAAUAAUAUAUGUAAACCGAAAUAGAUAUAGAAGUUUUCUUUAUAGUUCGCCUUUCUUUAUUAUUAUUAUGAAUUAAAAGAAACAACAAUAAAAGUUUUCACACAAUAUGCAGAGGAGAUACUCAAACGUAAAUUCAAAGAACAAAGUGGCAAUGCAAUCAGAAAAAAACCAAAAAAAUAAGUAAUAGUAUACAAAAUGCAAUAUAGAAUACUUAGGAUUAGAACACGAACCCCAUAAAAACCUGUGUUGAUUCCAGGUGCUCCGGAAGGGUGAAUCAGCCAUGAGUGGUUCCUUUUAUGUUGGUUGUUUAAUUAUAAACCUGUUGAUAAGUCUUAUUCGGUUAAUCAUAUUCUUAGGAAAGAUAACGAGGCUACGACAAUUGGGACAUAUUUAUCGUUAUCUUUAAAAGAAAUAUUCCGUAACCAUCAACCAACUUGAGAGUGCGUACCAACAAGCAAUAACUUCAACUUAUUUAGAACCCUUUGUUAAUAGCUUCUUUGUAAGCAACAAUUCUCUGAAAAAUAAAUCAUGAUUGGAAAAUCAAUUUUUGGAUAAUAAUAUCAACUGAGAGAUAAAGAUAUGCUAGAUUUUUGGUACAUAGAAAUGGAAAAACAACAAUUGGGAAAAUGAAAUUUCCCGGUUCAUCGUUAAGUUAUGUUCUCAACCGACCCUCAUAGUCAAUUUCGAGAUUUUAGUCAAGAUAUGAAAUAAACUCAGUUGUAUUUUGUUUCCCUUAUUUCAAUUGCAAGGCUAUAGAUGCGUUGUGCAUAGUCACCAAACUUUGAAUUAUAUUGUUAGAGGUCAUCAUCUGUAAAACGGAACGUGAAAUUAAUGAAUAAUACUAGUUCCUUUUUGUUCUAACAAGCUUAUCAGAAGUCAGCUUCAUCUAAUCAAAAGAAUAGGUCGGCAAGAAAAAAUAUCAAGUAUCAUUUGAAUCACUCUUAAUUAACUGAAGUUUAAUAGUUAAAGCAACAAAGGGAGAUGAUAGAUUUGCCGGCAAAAUAACAAAAAACUAAAGACAUGACACACAACACUACCGAUUAAGUAACUUGGACAGGCGCAUUACCUUUUAGUGAGGUUAAACUAUUUUUUUCUUAAAAUGGAUCCUCUCUAUGUUGAACAGGAGCUGUUUUCGCUUCAGGAGCACCUGAGAUCACCCCAGUUCUGGUGGGGUUCGUGUUGCCAUGUCUUUAAUUUUAUAUGUUGUAUCUAGUGUGCUAUUAGUGUGUUUGUCUGUUUGUUCUUUUCUCUUUUAGCCAUGGCCGUUUAUUUUUAAUCUAUGAGUUUGAUUGUCCCUCUGGUGUCUAUUGCCCAAAUUUUUCUGGAGUUGAGUUACAAUAUUACAGGAUAAUCUAUAGUCAUAUUAAUAGGUUUCUUGAAGUUCAUAUAUUUUGUAAAAAAAUUAAAAGAAAAACUAACGAAAUGUUCCCACAUUAUAAGGGAUUCAGGAAUCUAAUCUUAUAUUUAUUGUAUUUUGAUAGCUGCACAACUCCUGAAUGUAAAACCAUUAGAACUUUGUUUAGCACUUAUCAAGACCAAGACAGAAUAUGGAGGUUUGUUAUACAAAUUUAAUUUAAUAUAAAACUCGUCAACGACUUUAUGCUU
rnacentral:lncRNA from 1 species